UCCUGCCCUUUUCCCUGUUUUCCUGCCCCUUUUCCCUGUUUUCCCGCCCCUUUUCCUGCCCCUUUUCCUGCCCCUUUUCCUGCCCCCUUUCCCUGUUUUCCUGCCCCUUUUCCUGCCCCUUUUCCUGCCCUUUUCCCUCUUUUCCUGCCCCUUUUUCUGCCCCUUUUCCCUGUUUUCCUGCCCCUUUUCCUGCCCCCCCCUGUUUCCUGUCUCUUUUCCUGCCCCUUUUCCUGCCCCUUUUCCCUGUUUUCCUGCCCCUUUUCCUGUCUCUUUUCCUGCCCCUUUUCCUGCCCCUUUUCCCUGUUGUCCUGCCACUUUUCCUGCCCCUUUUCUUGUCCCUUUUUCUGCCCCUUUUCCUGCCCCUUUUCCCUGUUUUCCUGCCCCUUUUCCUGUCUCUUUUCCCUGUUCUCCCUUUUCCUGCCCCUUUUCCUGCCCCUGUUCCGUUUUCCUAUCCCUUUUCUCCCUUUUCCUCUCCCUUUUCCUUGUUUUCCUGCCCCUUUUCCCUGUUCUCUCUCCUUUUCUCUCUUUUCCUCUCCCUUUCCCCCAUUUUCCUGCCCCUUUUCCUGUUUCCUCUCCCUUUUCCCUGUUUUCCUCUCCCUUCCCCCCUUUUUCUGUCACUUUUCCCGUGUUUUCCUGCCCCUUUUCCCUAUUUUUUAUUUUUUUUAGUAUAUUUUAGUAUAUUUUAUUAUAUUUGUAUUUUCAUUAUAUUUUUAUUUUUCCUUUUUUACUCUUUUCUCUCCUUUUCUCCCUUUUCCCGUGUUUUCCUGUCCUUUUUCCCUAUUUUCCUCUCCCUUUCCCCCUUUUCCUGUCCCUUUUCCUGUGUUUUCCUGUCCCUUUUCCUGUUUCCUCUCCCUUUCCCCCUUUUCCUGUCCCUUUUCCUGUUUCCUCUCCAUUUCCCCCACUUCCUCUCCCGUUUUCCCCCUUUUCCCUGAUCCCUGCCCCAUUCCAGGUUUUUGAGCCGGUGGCUCCAUUUCCCCCACUUCCUCUCCCGUUUUCCCCCUUUUCCCUGAUCCCUGCCCCAUUCCAGGUUUUUGAGCCGGUGGGGGGCUGGGACACGGGCGAUUAUCACUGCGAGGCCUCCAACAACGUGGGGACCCCCCAGAAAUCCGACGUGUUCCGCAUGGAAGCCAGUAAGGAGCGAUCCCCAUCCCAUUCCGGAUCCCAUUCCCGAUCCCAAUCCCGAUCCCAUUCCCGAUCCCAUCCCCGAUCCCAUCCCCGAUCCCAUCCCCGAUCCCAAUCCCGAUCCCAUCCCCAAUCCCAUUCCCGAUCCCAUCCAGGAUCCCAUUCCCGAUCCCAUUCCCGAUCCCAUCCCGGAUCCCAUUUCCAUUCCCGAUCCCAU
rnacentral:lncRNA from 1 species